AUGUGCAUCAGCUCAUGUAUUUAUCAUUUCUUUAUGUUACUCUGGGUCCCAGAUUUCACUGUAGAAACAGUGAUGACACAGUCUCCAGCUUCCCUGUCUUUGUCUCUGGAGAAAAAAGCCACCCUGACUUGCAGGGCCAGUCAGUGUUAGCAGCUACUAAGCCUGGUACCAGAAGAAACCUGAGCGGGCUCCCAGGCUCCUCAUCUAUGGUACAGCCCUGAUUUGUGAUAGUGGGUCAGGACAGGGCUUACUCUCACCAUCGGCAGGCUGGAGCCUGAAGAUUUGCACUUCAUCACUGUUAUCAGCAUAGUAGUUGGUGUCC